AACACCUACAAACCAAUCAACAACAACUGAUACAUCCUCAACACAAACUGCCCCAACAUCUACCCCUCAGUCAACCACAACUGAUACAUCCUCAUCACAAACUGCACCAACGUCGACCCCUCUAUCAUCAACACCAACUGCACCAGCAUCUUCAUCGACUGCAUCAAAUACUCUAUCUACAUCUACACAAGCAACAUAAACCAGUCAAUCAACUUCAACAACAGCUACAAAUCAAUCAACACCAACUGUAACAUCGACAACAAUAGCACCAACAUCUACCGCUCUAUCAUCAACAACUGCACCAGCAUCUUCAUCAACUGCGACUGCAUCAAAUUUUUGAUCUACAUCUACACAAGCAACAUCAACCAGUCAAUCAACUGCAACAACACCUACAACUCAAACUGCAACAUCAACAUCAGCUGCACCAUCUACUACAAGAACAACAACUGCACCAACUUCGAGAUCAACUGCAUCAACAUUGAUAUCAGCUGCAUUAACAUCUACUCGAACACCGACACCUACUUCUCAAAUAACAACUCAAGUUAUAUCUACAACUCAAACAGCAAGCAAGUCAACAUCUUCAUCUCCAGAUGUUGUCCCACAAAAUAUGACAGCAUUUGCAUACGCAACCUUUACAUUGAGAUCCUCUGUUGAGCUAAGCAAUGAUGAAAUCAUUACUUAUAUUGAAAAGUUUGUCAAGCCCUUUCAAGCAAACAUUAAUGGGACCAUAAAGAUUACUUUGAAGAAAUCAAGAAAAUUGUUGGCCUAAGGAUCUAAUGGAAAACUUCCCUGCAAUAAUAGCAUGUCGAAGCACUGACAAAUUAUAAUCAAAUGCAUUUGUGUAAAAAAAAAUAAAAAUAAAAAAAAAACACUUACUCA
ensembl:lncRNA